rnacentral:rRNA from 1 species
GACGAACGCUGGCGGCGUGCUUAACACAUGCAAGUCGAGCGGUCAGGCCCUUUCGGGGGUACACGAGCGGCGAACGGGUGAGUAACACGUGGGUGACCUGCCCUCAGCUCUGGGAUAAGCCUGGGAAACCGGGUCUAAUACCGGAUAUGACUCCAUGACGCAUGUUGUGGGGUGGAAAGCCUUGUGCGGCUGAGGAUGGGCCCGCGGCCUAUCAGCUUGUUGGUGGGGUGANGGCCUACCAAGGCGACGACGGGUAGCCGGCCUGAGAGGGCGACCGGCCACACUGGGACUGAGACACGGCCCAGACUCCUACGGGAGGCAGCAGUGGGGAAUCUUGCGCAAUGGGCGAAAGCCUGACGCAGCGACGCCGCGUGAGGGAUGACGGCCUCGG